rnacentral:rRNA from 1 species
GACGAACGCUGGCGGCGUGCCUAAUACAUGCAAGUUGAGCGCUGUAGGUUGGUACUUGUACCAACUGGAUGAGCAGCGAACGGGUGAGUAACGCGUGGGGAAUCUGCCUUUGAGCGGGGGACAACAUUUGGAAACGAAUGCUAAUACCGCAUAAAAACUUUAAACACAAGUUUUAAGUUUGAAAGAUGCAAUUGCAUCACUCAAAGAUGAUCCCGCGUUGUAUUAGCUAGUUGGUGAGGUAAAGGCUCACCAAGGCGAUGAUACAUAGCCGACCUGAGAGGGUGAUCGGCCACAUUGGGACUGAGACACGGCCCAAACUCCUACGGGAGGCAGCAGUAGGGAAUCUUCGGAAAUGGACGAAAGUCUGACCGAGCAACGCCGCGCGAGUGAAGAAGGGUUUCGGAUCGUAAAACUCUGUUGGUAGAGAAGAACGUUGGUGAGAGUGGAAAGCUCAUCAAGUGACGGUAACUACCCAGAAAGGGACGGCUAACUACGUG